rnacentral:lncRNA from 1 species
GGCUACAGAUAGUUCUCAUUUUUUUUGCAAUCCUUCACCCCUUAAACUCUUAUAGACUGAGGCCACAAGAGUGGCAUUAUUAUUUCUGAAAGUGAUGAUGAUCGAUUUGUCACAAUUUUCAUCAAAAUGGAGAAGGAGAGGGCUAGUCAACCUAGCCUUUGUUUUUAUUUUUAUUUUUAGCUUGUUUUUUUGGAUAUUUUGCUCUACCAUAUAG